rnacentral:rRNA from 1 species
ACCUACGGGAAGCAGCAGUGAGGAAUAUUGGUCAAUGGUCGGGAGACUGAACCAGCCAAGCCGCCUGAGGGAGGAAGGUACAGAGUAUCGUAAACCUCUUUUGUCAGGGAACAAAGGCGGGGACGUGUCCCCGGAUGAGUGUACCUGAAGAAAAAGCAUCGGCUAACUCCGUGCCAGCAGCCGCGGUAAUACGGAGGAUGCGAGCGUUAUCCGGAUUUAUUGGGUUUAAAGGGUGCGCAGGCGGUCUGUUAAGUCAGCGGUCAAAGCCCGGGGCUCAACCCCGGCCCGCCGUUGAAACUGGCAGU